AACGAACGCUGGCGGCAGGCCUAACACAUGCAAGUCGAACGCCGUAGCAAUACGGAGUGGCAGACGGGUGAGUAACGCGUGGGAACAUACCCCUCGGUUCGGAAUAACUCAGGGAAACUUGAGCUAAUACCGGAUACGUCCAAGGUUUUAAUCGACCUUGGAGAAAGAUUUAUCGCCGGAGGAUUGGCCCGCGUCUGAUUUAGUCUUGUUGGUGAGGUAAUGGCUCACCAAGGCGACGACAGUAGCUGGUCUGAGAGGAUGAUCAGCCACAUUGGGACUGAGACACGG
rnacentral:rRNA from 1 species